ensembl:misc_RNA Y_RNA Y RNA
AGCUGUUCUGAAGGUAGUGAGUUAUUAAUAUCUCAGUUGAUUGUUCACAGUCAUUUAUAGAUCAAACUUCUUGUUCUACUCUUUCUCCCCUUCUCACUACUACAUUUGACUGGUCUUAA